GCAAUACGGCACCGGCAGACGGGAGAGUAACACGUGGGAACGUGCCCAUCAGUUCGGAACAACCCAGGGAAACUUGGGCUAAUACCGGAUACGCCCUUACGGGGAAAGAUUUAUCGCUGAUGGAGCGGCCCGCGUCUGAUUAGCUAGUCGGUGAGGUAACGGCUCACCAAGGCGACGAUCAGUAGCUGGUCUGAGAGGAUGAUCAGCCUCACUGGGACUGAGACACGGCCCAGACUCCUACGGGAGGCAGCAGUGGGGAAUAUUGGACAAUGGGCGCAAGCCUGAUCCAGCCAUGCCGCGUGGAUGAUGAAGGCCUUAGGG
rnacentral:rRNA from 1 species